UGGGGAAUAUUGGACAAUGGGCGCAAGCCUGAUCCAGCAAUGCCGCGUGUGUGAAGAAGGCCUUCGGGUUGUAAAGCACUUUUAUCAGGAGCGAAACGCUGUCGGCUAAUACCCGGCGGAACUGACGGUACCUGAGGAAUAAGCACCGGCUAACUUCGUGCCAGCAGCCGCGGUAAUACGAAGGGUGCAAGCGUUAAUCGGAAUUACUGGGCGUAAAGCGUGCGUAGGCGGUUUCUUAAGUCUGCUGUGAAAUCCCCGGGCUCAACCUGGGAAUGGCAGUGGAUACUGGGAGGCUAGAGUGUGUCAGAGGGUGGUGGAAUUCCCGGUGUAGCGGUGAAAUGCGUAGAGAUCGGGAGGAACAUCAGUGGCGAAGGCGGCCACCUGGGACAACACUGACGCUGAGGCACGAAAGCGUGGGGAGCAAACAGGAUUAGGAUACCCUGGUAGUCCACGCCCUAAACGAUGCGAACUGGAUGUGGUCUCAACUCGGAGAUCAGUGUCGAAGCUAACCGUUAAGUUCGCCGCCUGGGGAGUACGGUCGCAAGACUGAAACUUAAAUGAAUUGACGGGGUCAUAGCUGUUUCC
rnacentral:rRNA from 1 species